rnacentral:lncRNA from 1 species
AUUGGAAUGAUUGUUUAAAAACAAAAACAAAAAGGAAGCUAUUUCUUGAUCGAAAAGUUAUGUCAGUUUCAGUACACGAAGAAUUUGCAACUCUCCAGUGAAAUGUUGAUGUGUCUGUUAACGUAUAAAAUGGUUUUGCACUCAAAAGAUCAGGUCUGAAGUUUAUAAAAUAUCAUUUACAUUUCCAAAUCAAGAUAAGUAUGAUGGUGACUGUACAAGAACACCUGAUGGAAUUCUUGAGAGAAAUGGAUAUGGAGUUCAUACAACUGCAGGUGGAAUUAUUUAUCGUGGAACAUGGAAGAAUGAUAAGGUAUAUUUGUUUUUAAAAAUAUCUAAAACAUGCAAAUAAUUAAAGA